rnacentral:lncRNA from 1 species
CGGGGCCGCUACUAAAGCCCAAGACUCCCGGCCUGGGGCAGCCUGGGGAGGGACGCGGGCGGGGACGGAGCUCGGCGUGCUUGCUGCUGGAGGGUGAUGGCCCUGCAAGGCUGUGGGCUCCGACCUCACCGGGAGUCGACAGCGAGAGGUUCGCCGAAGAGCGAGGUUCUGGGCGAGCGCUGAACGCCGGCCCCAAGCACCCCGGGUCUUUACACAGUCCGCGUCCACAGACUCUGACGAAGACGUGGAUCUGCUCUCGCUUUAGCUGCUCGCGGUCCUCCAGAUCAUGUCCGCGACUCCUGCGACUCCGCGCGGAAAAAAAAGUUUGCCAGGCGUGGACUCAAUGACCUUUCCAAGCUGUGCGCCUCGCUGCCUGGACCGGGUCUGAGCGCGGCUGCCCAGGUUGACCUUUCUGCGGGAGCUUCACUGAACUGAAAUAAGUGUGUACACAUCUUCCUUGGUGACAGCCAGUCAAGUAAAUUUUACAAAAUUUCUCCACAUGCCUGGAAAUUCCUGUGAAGAAGACUGAUGAAAGAAAAGUAGCCUCAGCUCCACCAACAUAUUUAUGACUUUUCAUUGGUUUAAGUUUCUUUCCUUGCAAGAUUAAAAGUAACCAGUGGUCUGAAACGGGACGGUGGAGAAAUGACAGCAGAUGAUGAUCGCUGUUAUUUCCUGAAAGGGAGUGUGGGAACU